rnacentral:snRNA from 1 species
AGAUGUGAGGGCGAUCUGGCUAUGACAUCUGCCACCCGGCUGAUCCCCAGGGUGAUCCGGCUGAACUGGCUGGCUAGUGGGUGUCCCGGCCCUCCCUCACCGCUCCGUGUGCGUCCCUUUGGAAGCUGUCCCUCCCAACGCUGUCACCUGGUUGAACAGGGUGGGCACCCUCCAUAGAGGAGAUCGUUCCUGGUCAAAGCUACCAGGGCUGUGCUCCCCGCUGGAGCCUCCAAGCAAGCUCUCACCACCACGUGGAAUUCUCUGAUCCACAUGGAUUUCCUUACACAGCACAUAGCCGUAUCCUCUUAA